ensembl:snRNA U6 U6 spliceosomal RNA
GUGCUCGCUUCAGCAGCACAUAUACUAAAAUUGGAACCAUACAGAGAAGAUUAGCAUGGCCCCUGCGCAAGGAUGACAUGCAAAGUCGUGAAGCAUUCCAUAUUUAA